rnacentral:rRNA from 1 species
UACAGAGGUCUCAAGCGUUGUUCGGAUUCAUUGGGCGUAAAGGGUGCGUAGGUGGCGGGCUAAGUCCGGUGUGAAAUUUCGGAGCUUAACUCCGAAACUGCAUUUGAUACUGGCGUGCUUGAGGACUGGAGAGGAGACUGGAAUUCAUGGUGUAGCAGUGAAAUGCGUAGAGAUCAUGAGGAAGACCAGUGGCGAAGGCGGGUCUCUGGACAGUUCCUGACACUGAGGCACGAAGGCCAGGGGAGCAAACGGG